GACGAACGCUGGCGGCGUGCUUAACACAUGCAAGUCGAACGAAGUGGCGGACGGGUGAGUAACGCGUAAUCAACCUGCCCUUCAGAGGGGGACAACAGUUGGAACCGACUGCUAAUACCGCAUACGGAAGGAGGGGAUUGCGUUUGAUUAGCUAGUUGGAGGGGUAACGGCCCACCAAGGCGAUGAUCCGUAGCCGGGCUGAGGGGGUGGACGGCCACAUUUGGACUGAGACAAGGCCCCGAACUCUUAGGGAGGCAGGAGGUGGGAAUUUUCCGCAAUGGACGAAAGUCUGACGGAGCAACGCCGCGUGAGUGAUGACGGCCUUCGGGUUGGAAAGCUCUGUUAAUCGGGACGCGGUACCGGAAUAGAAAGCCACGGCUAACUACGUGCCAGCAGCCGCGGUAAUUC
rnacentral:rRNA from 1 species